GCCAGUACGGGGACCGAACCCUUGACUUUGGUGUUACCAACAGAGCUCUAACCGAACUAACCGGCCAGCCCUCAACUUUUUACAUGUUUACACUCUUGUAUAUACACCCAGAUCGAGACAUGGAGCUUUCCAGAGCCUGCCCUCCCAGGGUCCCCCCGAGGUGACCACUGUUCUAGCUUCUAGAUGGUCUCGUCUGCUUUCAGACUUCCCGCAAAUGGAAUCACAACGCACACUAGUUCGUGCCUGAUUCUUGCGCUCAGUUUGAGCUUCAGGUCUGCACUGCUGAGGAAUUUUAUUCCUAUUCCAUAACUGAAGGACCGGGCUGCUGCCGCUGUCCCUUUGCUGGUCCAUUCUCAGAAGAACCAUCUAGAAGUAUCUGCCUGGUCUUUCUCUGCCUUCUGUAUCUUCAUGUUUUCUCUUACCAGUUCUUCUGUUGUACUUUCCCCAUCUUGUUUUGCGAGGUUCCCCGGAAUCUGACUUCACUUUCUGUUUUGUUAAUUAAAGUUCUUGCUGCUUCUAAUGUG